rnacentral:rRNA from 1 species
UACGUAGGAGGCGAGCGUUGUCCGGAGUUACUGGGCGUAAAGGGUGCGCAGGUGGCCGUGCGCGUGGGGAGUGAAAUCGCCUGGCUUAACUGGGCGGGGGCUUUCCAGACGGCGCGGCUUGAGCCACAGAGGGGGGCGUGGAAUUCCGGGUGGAGCGGUGAAAUGCGCAGAUAUCGGGAAGAACACCCGUGGCGAAGGCGGCUCUCUGGGACGGUACUGACGCUGAGGCACGAGAGCCAGGGGAGCAAACGGG